GUCUUUUUGGUAGUUAAUAUAAAGUCUGACCUGCCCACUGAAAGUAAUUUAAAGGGCCGCAGUAUUUUGACUGUGCAAAGGUAGCAUAAUCAUUAGUCUUUUAAUUGGAGGCUGGUAUGAAUGGUUGGAUGAGAUACAAGCUGUGUCAUAAAAAUUAAUAUUUGAAUUUAACUUUUUAGUCAAAAGGCUAAAAUAAUAUUAAAAGACGAGAAGACCCUAUAGAGCUUUAUAUAAUAAAUAUUUUAAUUAUUAAGAUUUUUUAAAUUUAAUUAUUUUUUUUGUAUUUUGUUGGGGUGACAAUAAAAUUUAUAAAACUUUUAUUUUUAUUUUACAUUAAUUUAUGAAUAUAUGAUCCAGUUUUAUUGAUUAUAAAUUUAAGUUACCUUAGGGAUAACAGCGUAAUUUUUUUUGAGAGUUCUUAUCGACAAAAAAGAUUGCGACCUCGAUGUUGGAUUAAGAGUAAUUUUGGGUGUAGAAGUUCAAAAUUUAAGUCUGUUCGACUUUUAAAUUCUUACAU
rnacentral:rRNA from 1 species